rnacentral:rRNA from 1 species
GACGAACGCUGGCGGCGUGCUUAACACAUGCAAGUCGAACGGAAAGGCCCCCAUCUUGGUGGGGGUGCUCGAGUGGCGAACGGGUGAGUAACACGUGGGUGAUCUGCCCUGUACUUCGGGAUAAGCUUGGGAAACUGGGUCUAAUACCGGAUAGGACCAUGGUUUAGUGUCUCAUGGUGGAAAGAUUAUUGUUUUGGUGCAGGAUCAGCUCGCGGCCUAUCAGCUUGUUGGUGGGGUAAUGGCCUACCAAGGCGUCGACGGGUAGCCGGCCUGAGAGGGUGGACGGCCACAUUGGGACUGAGAUACGGCCCAGACUCCUACGGGAGGCAGCAGUGGUGAAUAUUGCACAAUGGGCGCAAGCCUGAUGCAGCGACGCCGCGUGGGGGAUGACGGCCUUCGGGUGGUAAACUCCUUUCGUUAGGGACGAAGCCGCACUUUUUUUGGGUGUGGUGACGGUACCUUUGUUAAGAAGCACCGGCUAACUACGUG